rnacentral:rRNA from 1 species
UACAGAGGCCUCGAGCGUUAGGCGGAAUCACUGGGCGUAAAGGGUGCGUAGGCGGGUCUUUAAGUCAGGGGUGAAAUCCUGGAGCUCAACUCCAGAACUGCCUUUGAUACUGAAGAUCUUGAGUUCGGGAGAGGUGAGUGGAACUGCGAGUGUAGAGGUGAAAUUCGUAGAUAUUCGCAAGAACACCAGUGGCGAAGGCGGCUCACUGGCCCGAUACUGACGCUGAGGCACGAAAGCGUGGGGAGCAAACAGG